rnacentral:lncRNA from 1 species
GAAAGCUUCAGACAGAGAAAUCAGUAAUUCCUGCUCUAAAGAGUAUUUUAACUCACUGACCUUUGAAAUCAAGCAUACAUGGAACAUUAAAAAGACUGUCAUACAGAUUUCAAGACUGAAAAGCGCGGCGGCCGCGGGCCGAGGCGGAGAAGACGCUGUGGAACGCCUUCUGCGGUCAGGUGGUCCGGCGCAGCCAUAUUUUGCACAGGCUCCACCCUCCGUUCCUUGUCCAGGAGUCAGGGGUCUUCUUUUCAAUGAGGAUGCCUUCAUUUCGUCUGUAAAAAGAAGACGAGCGUUGAUCUGGUAGUGAUUCCCGCCGAUCCACCGCCCAACAUUUCUGUUGAUGCUAGCCAUUAAGUGAUCCGCAACUCUUUAAACUUUUGAGAUUACAACAACACAGCAAACGAAGCCCAUUGGAAGAAAUGUCCGGUAAUGAAAACUAAGAACAGGGUCUAGUGGCCUAAGAAGAAUCACCACAAAGGCACAUCUCUGCUUGUGUCCGUAAGAAUGGUUUCCCAGUAGCUGAAAUGAAGAAGGUGAAUAGUGGCACCGUCCCAUGGGCAGAGGUUCUGGGACUGAGUCGACAGGAGGACGAAGCUGAACACCAGCUCUCUCUCUCUGCUUCCUGACUAUGGAUACAAUGUAAGCAGGACCUCCUGUGACCAAGAUUCCUCCUCCAUGACAGCCUGUCCACUCAAACUGAGAGCCAAAAUCAACCCUCUCUGCUGCUGUUGCUUUUAUCAACUGUUUGUCAGAGAGUCAAGGCCUGCCUUCUCCAAGCUAAGUUACUUACUUAAAAAAUUCUUUUUUUUUUUUGAGACAAGUGUCCCACUAUGGCAAUUUCUGGCUGUUCUGGAACUCACUGUGUGGACCAGUCUGGCCCUGAUCUAAGAGAGAUGCUCCUGCCUCUGCCUCCCACAAGCUGGGAUAAAAGUUGCGUGCUGUCACACCCAGUUGUUAACUUUUCUUUUACACUUAGAGAUUCUCCAGACGCUCAGCUCCACAUUCAGUUUGCCCCAACAAGAGAGAGAGGGCUGGAGGCUGUUCAUCAACAACUAAACGCCUCAGUUUCUCACAGAACUGUUAGCCAGAAGUGGUCACACAGGCUCAGUCCAACUGCCAGAGAGGCUGGAGCAGGUAGGAGAAAGGAGAAAAAUGUAGGCUGUGUCGCAGGCAACAAUCUUUCUGCCACGACUGACAGGAGCAGCUGUCAGACUCUAGUUUGCUGUCUGGUGGGUAGUGGUGCAUGCCUGUAACCCCCAGCAGUGGGAAGUCCAAGUUCAAGGCCAGCCUGGACUACGUGAGACUGUUGAAGCAAGAAAGCGAGUGAGUGAGGGAAAGAGGGAGGAGGGAAAGAAAGAUAGAGGAAAAAAGAUGUGAAAGAGAGUAUAAAAAAUGAAUGAAAAGCAUCCCAGCUUGUUGGGAAGUCCAAAUGUUUGUCUGUCCUGGGCACAGACUCCCAAACAGAGUCAGGCUCAGUUCAUCAGGGCCACUCCCAGGACUUGGGCAGAAAAUGGACCUCUUCUAAACACCCCUGGGCUUUGCAGCAGCCCCAUUUCCCAAAGGUUUUCUCUCCUGGAUCAUCACCCGUGAACAAAGAGACUAAGCUGGAGUCAUAAUAGAGACGGAGCACACAGUUUUCUGGGGGUUACACACAAGAAAGCAGGCCAUUGGAACACUAGGUGACGAAGACACGCGCACAAAGGCUCUGACAAAGUCUCUCUAGUAUCAGUAAUUUGGGGGUUACAACAGUUACAGAGUGGAGCUAGAGACAGUAGUGAGUCACUCUUUGGGUACCAGAACUGAACCCAGAUAACGAUACAGACAGCAGUACAGCAGCAGUACAACCAUACAGAUAACCAGUGUCACUUUUACUACCAGCCUCCCGUCUAAACCUGGACACCUUGGAGGAUAAAAGGAAUGCUAAGAAUUGCUUUGAUUCAACAAAGACGGAAGAUGGAGCCUCGGAGCUGGAGACUAUGGACAACACUAUCAGCUGGCAAAACCAGUAUGCGAGCCCAGAUAUCUAAAUUCUGCACUGUUUUACAUGUGUUCCUCCAGUGUCAUCGAACUGUUGUCUAGACAUAGAACAUGUGGUAGCCUGAGAUGAGAAGGGACUGUAGACAUGGAGGCUUAUGCAGAGAAGAGGCUCAGUGUGUAUCUGGUGGAUGAAUGAUCCCUUUCCGUUAGAAAUGGUGAAUUUGUUCUGUUACAAAAUCUGUGUGCCACCCCCAGCAUCCCAGUUGUCUGUGUAUUCAUCCAGCCAUGUAUCCGAUUAACAUUUGUUACACACCUACUAUGUGUCAGUGGAGAUCCCCACUGACACACCUACUAUGUGUCAAUGGAGAUCCCCACAUCAAUAGCUCUCCUAAAUAUAUUUCCUUGCCAUAUUUCAAGAUGGUUAUUCUGAGAAACGGCCCACAAAAAUAUGUGCUGAAGACGUUGUUUCCAUCAAUCUGCAUCAGCAGGAAAAAAAAAAAAAAAAAAAAAAACAGCAGGCACAGGCAGAAACUCUCUUGAAGAGUCUCUCCAUCUGCCCAGGAAAGAACCUUAGACAGGAACGUCUGGGAGCACCCUUCCCACUACCCCAGGCAGAGGUGACCACAGGUGGCUGCUUUUCGAAGGGCAGGCUCUGAUCGAUCCCAAGGCAGCUUCAUGCUGAACUUGUUUGGCUUAGGUCUUCACCUCCCUUCAUCCAGGAAAGCCUCAUACCCUAGUCCUUUGUGUAACACAAAAUGUUUAAUAAAUGUCAACCAACUGAGAUUUCACCCGAGCAGCAGUGGCGCUAGCUCUCCGGUUUGGUUGCGUGGGGCUUGAGGGGGGCAGACCUCUUUGGAAUUCUGCUCCCUCUCUAGUCUGAGUCAAAUCGAAAAAUUCUAAGUCAAGGGACGCUCCAGCUAGCUCAGAUAAAGCCUCCAGGCAGCUCUUUAGAGCCACCGGCAUAGAGAGAGCACGACUCCCACCCUUCCCAGACACGCAGUGCGGAUGGCUUUAGAUAUUCUGAGGAAGAGUUGGCAUCAAGAGGAGGCGAAGCUCAGAUAAUCUGCCAGCACCCGAAGGAGGACCCACAGGGUGAACAAAUGUAGCUGGACCAGAAGAAGUAAUGCUGAUAAGUCCCUACAGCGAUUUGCAAGAAUCUUGGCUACUU